rnacentral:rRNA from 1 species
CCUACGGGAGGCAGCAGUGGGGAAUAUUGGGCAAUGGGCGCAAGCCUGACCCAGCAACGCCGCGUGAAGGAAGAAGGCUUUCGGGUUGUAAACUUCUUUUGUCAGGGAAGAGUAGAAGAAGGUACCUGACGAAUAAGCCACGGCUAACUACGGGCCAGCAGCCGCGGGAAUACGUAGGUGGGAAGCGUUGUCCGGAUUUACUGGGUGGAAAGGGCGUGUAGCCGGGUUGGCAAGGCAGAUGUGAAAUCCUGCGGCUUAACCGCAGAACUGCAUUUGAAACUGUUGAUCUUGAGUACUGGAGAGGCAGAUGGAAUUCCUAGUGUAGCGGUGAAAUGCGUAGAUAUUAGGAGGAACACCAGUGGCGAAGGCGGUUUGCUGGACAGCAACUGACGGUGAGGCGCGAAAGCGUGGGGAGCAAACAGGAUUAGAUACCCUGGUAGUC